rnacentral:rRNA from 1 species
AUUGAACGCUGGCGGCAGGCCUAACACAUGCAAGUCGAGCGGCAGCGGGAAAGCAGCUUGCUACUUUUGCCGGCGAGCGGCGGACGGGUGAGUAAUGCCUGGGAAAUUGCCCAGUCGAGGGGGAUAACAGUUGGAAACGGCUGCUAAUACCGCAUACGCCCUACGGGGGCAAGCAGGGGCUCUUCGGACCUUGCGCGAUUGGAUAUGCCCAGGUGGUAUUAGCUAGUUGGUGCGGUAAUGGCUCACCAAGGCGACGAUCCCUAGCUGGUCUGAGAGGAUGAUCAGCCACACUGGAACUGAGACACGGUCCAGACUCCUACGGGAGGCAGCAGUGGGGAAUAUUGCACCAUGGGGGAAACCCUGAUGCAGCCAUGCCGCGUGUGUGAAGAAGGCCUUCGGGUUGUAAAGCACUUUCAGCGAGGAGGAAAGGUUGGCGCCUAAUACGUGUCAGCUGUGACGUUACUCGCAGAAGAAGCACCGGCUAACUCCGUGCCAGCCGCCGCUGUAA